ensembl:lncRNA
CACACACACACACACAACAAAACACGCGGCGUAGAAAUGGCUGUAAACUGAUAUAAAGCGAGCUCUUUGCGGCUUUAGCCCCUCGUCCACAUGUGAGAGAGGAGUGAAGGAGAGAGGAGGAGAGAGGAGUGGAGGAGAGAGGAGUGGAGGAGUGAGUGCGCCGCGCCGCGCAACAUCAUUUCCACAUUUGGUCUCGUCACGGAGAGAGCCGGAGCACACCGAGCCGAGCCGAACCGAGCCGAGCUUGGACACGGACAUGGACUUGAUACAUUUCUAAGGAUCCUAGCUGUGAUCUCGGGUCGCUGUUGCUUUUACCCCCGACUCCAGUCCACUGAAGAAUUUCCUCGGCGGUUCACACGUCUCCUGGACGCAUUGCUACCCCGACAGCGUCUCACCCUCGCUUCCAAACGGACUGCUGGAGAUAUCCUGAUUUCUUUUUUCCAUCACAUCGCAUAAAUAUUCCUAUAUAUAUAUAUAUGUAUAUGUAUAUAUCUAUAUAUACAUAUGCAUAUUCCUAAUUCUGUAUCAAGGAACUGGUGCGUUUUGAGAAUGAGACGUCACACACUACACUAACCGUCUCCUUCACGUGCGCUGAGCGUUAAGAAUAUGACCUAACGUGCCGGAUUUUCUAUUCUUUUUUUUUUUUUUUUUUUUUGGCUUUUUUUUUGUGUGUGUUGUUGUUGUUGUUGUCUUUCUUGGAUUCGCCAUGUGUCUCUCCUUUCAUUUGGGACUGCUUUAUUCUGGAAGACUCGGUUUGAUCAAUUUUUAAUCCUUUAUGCGUCGGCGAAAUAAAGAGGAAACAGAACAAGAGCGACGGAUCAACCGCAGAGACGAGAAAGAGGGGUAAAGAAAUAUAUAAAUAUAUAUAUAUACAUCUAUAUUGACGUGUAUAUAUAAUAAAACAACAAUAACAAGAAACAAAAAAACAAAAAUAAAUAAAUAAAUUAAAAAAAAAAUAAAAAAAAAAAAAACCCCACCGGGACGUUAAUAAGGGAGAGAUGAAUGUAUGAGACGCAGUGAAGACUGGAAGAAAGGAGACUGGAGGAGUGAAGGUAAGCAGGGUUAUGAAACAAGGUGUCCAUCACUAUGGCAUACUAAACACCAAGCUAGGACACCGUGCAUGCUCCAGACUCCAGGCUUUCAAACACUAUCAUCAUCAUCAUCAUCAUCAUCAUAAGUUGCUUAUGAAAUAUGGAUGUGUGUGAUGUGUCAGGAUCUCUGGUGAAAAACAAGGACGUCUUUAUUUAUCUAUGUAUGUAUGUAUUUAUUUGUUUAUUUAUUUAUUUUCGCCGAGUCAGUACAUCACGAGACAGACGUAACGUUUUGUUUUUUUUGUUUGUUUGUUUGGUUUUUUUCUUCCCUUUCCUAUGGCUUUCAUGUGACAUUGGCUCCAUGUGCAAGAGCAAGCACACACUUUUAAACGUGUAACAAUUCUAACACUCGACCGAUGGGCCAACCGUUAGGAUUUUAACUGGUUUUUUUUUUGUGUGUGUUUGUUUUUUUAAAUUUUAAAAAAAAAAUAUUUAAUAAGCUUGUUUGGCUUAUUAAUGUGUGUUUGUGUGUGUGUGUGUGUGACCUGACGUGAACAUCGUACGAUAUAUUCACACUAUAGCGUGUGCGAGACAUCUUUACUGGAUCCGCAAAAGCAUACGUUGAUAUGGGAGAAUAAUUAUGUGUCAUGAUGAUAAUCAAUAAUCAUGUUUCGAAAGAAGUAGCCUCGGUCAGAGCGACGAAAACCAUCCAGUCUUCUGGAGAGAGAGAGAGAGAGAGAGUGUGUGUGUGUGUGUGUGAGAGAGAGAGAGAGAGAUUCAUCAAUAGGCGACACACGGCAGUGUUAUACAAGAAAAAUCCGCAUUAGCUCAAAUACCUAGCUGGUCAUAUGAGAUAAAAAUUACAGGCCACGUCGGAAACCUGGUCAUUUGUAUACUAGCUCGUCAGUAGGACCGUAGUGACUAUGGGUGGAGUAAUAUUUUACAUAUGUAAUAAGCUAUGAACUAUAGUAGGAGGUGGUCAGUGUGAAUGGGCCAACAACAAGGUGACAGAAUGCAGUCACCUGCCAAACUCCCAUGCAGUCAGCUCUCCCCGUCGUACGACAGCUACCGACCGGGGUAACACAUGCUUCCUCCGAGACGUGCGAAGCCAGCCGACAACAUCUGUUCGAACUGCUGUGUCACAGGGCAGCGGAACACACGCACAGAGGGACGCGCUAUCCGCCCUCUUCCGCAUACACGAGCGCCGAAAGACUCCCGCGAUUGGCUAGUGUCGCUGUAAUUAUUGACGAAGGAGCGCUCCACACCGGAUCGGAUCGGACGGAUGCGCACGGCACAUUAGGAUGACACCGGGGUUGUGCACCUGUCUCACCUGAGUAUAGACCCCUCCCCUUUUAUAUUCUCUUAGCUCUCGUGUCAGCUCAGUCUUUCUUUCUGUUUUCCCUCUCUGCCCUCUGUACCUCCAUCAGACCAUAUCAGUGUUGCCAGCAGCUACUAAUGCACAGUAAUGUAGCACCUACUCAUCACAUUCACCUACACACACACACACACACACUUACUCACCAUAAUCUAGUGCAGUCCCACAGCAUCUCAGCUGAGACGAUGUGGUGUGUGUGUGUGUGUGUGUCUGUAUAUAUAUAUAUAUAUAUAUAUAU